UACAGAGGGUGCGAGCGUUAAUCGGAAUUACUGGGCGUAAAGGCGCGCGUAGGCGGCUUUGCAAGUCGGGUGUGAAAUCCCCAGGCUUAACCUGGGAACUGCAUUCGAGACUGCAUUGCUAGAGUAUGGGAGAGGGAAGUGGAAUUUCCGGUGUAGCGGUGAAAUGCGUAGAUAUCUGAAGGAACAUCAGUGGCGAAAGCGACUUCCUGGACCAAUACUGACGCUCAUGUGCGAAAGCGUGGGGAGCAAACAGG
rnacentral:rRNA from 1 species